rnacentral:misc_RNA from 1 species
UCGCGGCUUAUCACCGGCAGUCCCCUUAGAGUGCCCAACUGAAUGAUGGCAACUAAGGGCGAGGGUUGCGCUCGUUGCGGGACUUAACCCAACACCUCACGACACGAGCUGACGACAGCCAUGCACCACCUGUGAUCCUGCCCACAAGGGGAGACCGUGUUUCCACGGUUGUCACCUACAUGUCAAGCCCAGGUAAGGUUCUUCGCGUUGCGUCGAAUUGAACCACAUGCUCCGCUGCUUGUGCGGGUCCCCGUCAAUUCCUUUGAGUUUUAGCCUUGCGGCCGUACUCCCCAGGCGGGGUGCUUAACGCGUUAGCUUCGGCACCACGAGGGUCAAAGCCCGUGACACCUAGCACUCAUCGUUUACGGCAUGGACUAC